UACGAAGGGGGCUAGCGUUGCUCGGAAUCACUGGGCGUAAAGGGUGCGUAGGCGGCCAACUAAGUCGGAUGUGAAAUCCCCAGGCUUAACCUGGGAACUGCAUCCGAUACUGGAUGGCUUGAAUCCGGGAGAGGGAUGCAGAAUUCCAGGUGUAGCGGUGAAAUGCGUAGACAUCUGGAGGAAUACCGGUGGCGAAGGCGGCAUCCUGGACCGGCAUUGACGCUGAUGAGCGAAAGCUAGGGGAGCAAACGGG
rnacentral:rRNA from 1 species